AUCAUGAAUCCUCCUGGAUCUCAGUUUUCAUCAAAUAUUAAUAAAUAUUUCUGGUUUCUCUCCAGCAGCUGCUGAUCAGAUCCAAACUCAGAGACCAACUUUGACUCCAGAACCAGAGAGAGGAAGGAGCAUCAUCUUCAUCACUGUGACAGUCAUAGCAGCAGCAGCUGUGAUGGUUCUAAUAAGCUUGAUUAUAUCUUUUAUUUUGAGAAUGAAAAGAAAGAAAAACAAAAAUAAUCAUUCUACACGUGCAGCUGGAAAAUAUAUGCAGAUAAAAGUUUUGUUCACUUGAGUUUGGUUGAUGAUAAUUUUGCCGCCACAGAAACAGGUUAGAUUUAAUGUUCUGAUGAGGAAAAUGUAAGAUUGUAAUGAAUUAAUAUAUAAUAAUUAUAUUAAUCUGUUUAUUGUUUCAGUUUCCCGUUUUAAAUCAUCUCUAAAAACUGUCAGACGUAUUGAUCAGUUAUUGUGUCUAAAUGCUGAAUCAGCUGAUUGUUACUGAUAAAAUGAUUUAUUAUUUUCACAGGUAUAUUUAGAUAAACAUUUUUUUAAACCAGCUGAUAAAACUAAACACAGAAACAUCGCUCUGCUUUUACAGGGUGAUAAAGUCAGAGAGGGAGGAGAAAAACUGGAAGGAAAACUUUAAUGAUGGAGACAAAAUACUUGGUAGAUCUGGAUUUACUAAAUGUUUAAAUGUUUGAGCUGAGAUGACCUCACAUUUCAUUCUUCAUCACUUUGGUAACCAGAUCAGUUCCUGGUUGAUGUGAACGCAGCAAACCAGGCCCAGAGCAUCACUCCUCCACCGCUGUGUCCUGUUGUCAAUGGCAACCAAUGUCUCUCUGGUCUGGCCUCAGGGUGGAUGUAGUUUACCUUCUUCCUGUCUAAAAACUCAAAAGUUUUGUUACUGUGAUCAUUUUAUCUGCUUCAUUUUUUGUGUUUAUGGUGUUAAAAUGUUGUAAAUAAAUCAGUUUUUAUAGAAAG